UACGUAGGGUGCAAGCGUUGUCCGGAAUUAUUGGGCGUAAAGAGCUCGUAGGCGGCUUGUUGCGUCGGCUGUGAAAUCCCGGGGCUUAACUCCGGGCGUGCAGCCGAUACGGGCAGGCUAGAGUCCGGUAGGGGAGACUGGAAUUCCUGGUGUAGCGGUGAAAUGCGCAGAUAUCAGGAAGAACACCCGUGGCUAAGGCGGCUCUCUAGUACGGUACUGACGCUGAGACGCGAAAGCGUGGGGAGCGAACAGG
rnacentral:rRNA from 1 species